GAGCUCAGAGUUCAGAAAUUUGUCCGAAGACGGUUAGAAGCGCGAACACUAGAAUACCCUCCACAGCAACGCAGAUAAUUAUCACGCUGAAGCGGCUGGUAACAUUCGCACUAAUGCAUUUCAGAGGAGCCGACUACGAGAGCCGGCACGACCUCCAAGUCCAAGCCUUCGUCAAUAAAGCCGAAGGUUGAGAAUUCCAUGAGACUCAAACAGGCAUGCUCCUCGGAAUACCAAGGAGCGCAAGGUGCGUUCAAAGAUUCGAUGAUUCACUGAAUUCUGCAAUUCACAUUACUUAUCGCAUUUCGCUGCGUUCUUCAUCGAUGCGAGAGCCAAGAGAUCCGUUGCUGAAAGUUGUAUAUAAAUUGCGUUAUAGCAAAGUAUGACAUUCUAAAACUGAAUCGUUUGUAGUAAAGCAUAAGCCCGACACCUACAAGUGCGCGAACGCACCCACAAGCCGGCCUAUGAAAAGUGCACAGAAGUUGAGAGUGGAUGAGACAGGCGUGCACAUGCCCUUGCGAGCCAGCAGACAACCCGUUCAAAACUCGAUAAUGAUCCUUCCGCAGGUUCACC
rnacentral:misc_RNA from 1 species